CCCUCUGAGCCCAAUACUCCAGUCAGUUUUCUGUUCACUGUACAGUCCAUUCAUCUGGCCCGUACUUCCUUAGCCUGCCUGAGAGAAUGUUGUGGGAAACCGUGUCAAAACCUUUGCUAAAAUCAAGGCACACCACAUCCACUGGUCUCCCCAUGUCCACAGAGCCAGUCACCUCAUCAUAGAAGGCAAUCAGGUUGGUCAGCCAUGACUUGCCCUUGAUGAGUCCAUGCUGACUGUUCCCAAUCACCUUCUUCUUCUCCAAGUGCUUAGAAUACUGUGUGUAGCAGGGCACUAAGGUGCCUGUUACUGAGAGAGCCAGGAAGACUACUCAGGUGCUGGUUGCUGAGGCUUAAAAGCCAUGCCCAAGCAAAAGAAAUGGGCAAGAUUUUUGCAAAGGAGAUGGAGAAAGUAAAAGCUAACCUGGCAAGUUAUGAGGACCUAUACAAUCGAAGCUUGUCCCUUGAAAGAGAGUUAGAAGCUGGGACAAAAGAGACUGAGAGGUUACAGUCUCAGUUGCAGAGUGUGGAGGUAGAAAGAGACCGCAUGGGAGAAUAGGUACAGUUCCUUAAAUCCAUCAUAGAAGAUAACGUGGCUAGAGAGGCUGUGACUAACGCAGAGAGGGAGCAGUCACAGCAGCAAAUACAGAUUCUGAGUCAGCAGAUUCAAGCCUUAGAGGCAGAAAAUGAGAUGCUACGGGCAGCCAGCAGUCAGACAGCGGCAAAAGGCCAAGAUCCUGAGGAGCCGGAGGGGCCAGAGUUAAGAAGUGCAGAAACCCAGACUGAAGGAGGACCAGAGGCUCAAGCAGUGGAGUGGAUAGAAGUGAUGCAAGAGAGGCUGGAGACACUGGGAGCCCAGCUGGUGGAAUGUGUGACCACGGCGAAGUCUAAAUGCCUAGAGCAACACCAGGAACUGGAAGUGGUGAAAAGGUCCCUGAGGUAAGUGGAGACGCAACUAACAACCAUACGGCUAGGGGUCCGGAAGCCUCCGGAACAAAUAAAGUUCCUUGGUGACCAAGGACCAGAGGAUCCAGAAGAAGAGACCGAGUUAGGGCAAUCGGAGAGAAGCAACCCAGAGAAGGGAUCGGUAGGGGUGAAACCUACGGCCCUACAAGAAGAGGUCCUACCAGCCCUCUUGGAGUGCUGGAAUAGGAGAUGGGACCAAUGGGUGAAGCUUCAUGCGAGGGAGAUGAGCCGCCUAAGACAUCAGCUGGGUGAGCUCUGUAAAACUCGAGCCAGGGGAGGAAUUACAGUACCCAGGCAGAGGCAGGUAGUGGAAGGGGACACGAGAGCUGCAGGGACAGCAGAGAGAAGUGCGUAGGCUAGCCCAAGGAGCGAGAUGUGUUGGCAGGUUAGCCACGGAGGUAUACAGGUGACACAAGGCCUGAGACAAAAGGAGUCAGAGACAAGUCCCAGAGAAAAAGGGUCAGUGAGACUGAGAAAAGAAAGCCAGGUCCAAAAGCCAGAGAUACAGAGGAGGGAAUGACCACCCGAAGUGGGACCAAAGCUUGAGAGAAGACUACAAGUAUACAUAAAUAACAUCCCGAGACAGGUCCAGUGGUGGACGUUAAGGAAAUUCAUUGAAACAACAGUUGGAGGAGUGGCCUAUGUAAAAAUUUACAAAGAUCCUAAAGGAAGGCCUACUGGCUGAGGGAAGAUAGAGUUUUGGAGGGAAGAAUAUGCCCAGAAAGCAUUGGAGAGACAGUGGGAGAUCUGGAAAAGGCUUCAGGGGCUCCAGAGAGUAUUAGAAAAGCCAGAGACCACACAACCUACCUGGAGAAAGAGACUAAGGUUUGCAGGGGUGGACAGGUCAGAAACGAGAAGAAACCCCAAAAGGGAGGUGGGAGCCCGACUGACAGGGACUGCAACCUACCAAGGUCGGCUAGUGUCGGGGGACUGCUCGUGGCGGGACAGCUCCCGUAAAAUCCCACAUGAUGCGCCUUGGGUAAAAGGCGAGUUGGAGGCGGCUGAAAACCUCUGCCUCCAUGCGUCAGAAGUGUCGGUGGGUCAGCAUAAAAGCAUAAGAAGAAAAGACAGAAGAUGCACAGCAGAAGAAGAUUCAAGACGGCCUGGUGAGUUGAAAUCUUAAGUGGGGAGGUGUGUAGCAGGGCACGAAGGUACCUGCUACUGAGAGAGCCAGGAAGACUCCUCAGGUGCCGGUUGCUGAGGCAACUAGAGGGAGCUAAUGAUCCACACCUGCCUAGCCAGCUGACAAGAAGGGGCAGGGCCUGGCUCCUAUAUAAACCACAGGCAGGAGGCCAGGUGGCAGUUUCCUACCAGCAGCCAAGACAGAAGGAGCUCCUUGCUAGAAAGAAAAGAAAAGAGAAGCCGAGCUGGGAUGCCAGAGCAGCGUUGGUCACCAUGGUGGGAUAGAGAACCCUGGAACCACAGACCUCACCCAGGAACAGAGACAAAACCCAGCAUUUGAAAGAUAAAGAACAUACAGGAACCCAACAUUUGAAAGACAAAGACCCUACAGAAACCAGCAACCCCACCAUUGUAUCCCACCAGUUAAUGAGGACACCUGGAUCUGUACGUAUCCACCUGAACAGGACUGGGCAUGCCUGGACAUGUCCUUCCUAUAGAAGACAUAGGUAGCCCACCCCUGUAAAAGGGGUGAUAGAGUGUGACCUCUUUGGGAUGCCCUCUCUAUCUGGACCAGCACUGUGCCAUGUCACCUAUCCACCCAGAGGCCCUGCUGGCAACCCUCUCUGGAUAAUACCUUACUGGAGAAGACCCCGAUUGGCCAUCAAGGAUCAACUCGCAGCCCAGGAUAGGUAGUUAUCCUUCCCCAGGCAAAGGACUUGGACUCUGUCCCCACACACCUUGACUCCAGUCCCUCCACCAAGCCUUUCCUCUCCUGCUUCCAUUGUGUGUGUGUGUGAGAGUGUAUGUGUGUGGGAACCAAUAAUUUUGUGGGGCUGUAUAGUGUGCUGCCUGAUUAAUAAAACUGUUAUUUUGAAACCUCAA